AAAGGUAUAGCUCAGUGGUAGAGUGGGUGCCUAGAAUGCACGAGGUCCUGGGUUCAAUCCCUAGUACCUCCA
rnacentral:tRNA from 1 species